rnacentral:rRNA from 1 species
GGUUAAGCGACUAAGCGUACACGGUGGAUGCCCUGGCAGUCAGAGGCGAUGAAGGACGUGCUAAUCUGCGAAAAGCGUCGGUAAGGUGAUAUGAACCGUUAUAAACGGCGAUGUCCGAAUGGGGAAACCCAGUGCAAUUCGUUGCACUAUCGUUAACUGAAUACAUAGGUUAACGAGGCGAACCGGGGGAACUGAAACAUCUAAGUACCCCGAGGAAAAGAAAUCAACCGAGAUUCCCCCAGUAGCGGCGAGCGAACGGGGAGCAGCCCAGAGUCUGAAUCAGCUUGUGUGUUAGUGGAACGGUCUGGAAAGUCCGACGGUACAGGGUGAUAGUCCCGUACACCAAAAUGCACAGGCUGUGAACUCGAAGAGUAGGGCGGGACACGUGGUAUCCUGUCUGAAUAUGGGGGGACCAUCCUCCAAGGCUAAAUACUCCUGACUGACCGAUAGUGAACCAGUACCGUGAGGGAAAGGCGAAAAGAACCCCGGCGAGGGGAGUGAAAAAGAACCUGAAACCGUGUACGUACAAGCAGUGGGAGCACCUUCGGGUGUGACUGCGUACCUUUUGUAUAAUGGGUCAGCGACUUAUAUUCUGUAGCAAGGUUAACCGUAUAGGGGAGCCGCAGGGAAACCGAGUCUUAACUGGGCGUUAAGUUGCAGGGUAUAGACCCGAAACCCGGUGAUCUAGCCAUGGGCAGGUUGAAGGUUGGGUAACACUAACUGGAGGACCGAACCGACUAAUGUUGAAAAAUUAGCGGAUGACUUGUGGCUGGGGGUGAAAGGCCAAUCAAACCGGGAGAUAGCUGGUUCUCCCCGAAAGCUAUUUAGGUAGCGCCUCGUGAAUUCAUCUUCGGGGGUAGAGCACUGUUUCGGCUAGGGGGUCAUCCCGACUUACCAACCCGAUGCAAACUACGAAUACCGAAGAAUGUUAUCACGGGAGACACACGGCGGGUGCUAACGUCCGUCGUGAAGAGGGAAACAACCCAGACCGCCAGCUAAGGUCCCAAAGUCAUGGUUAAGUGGGAAACGAUGUGGGAAGGCACAGACAGCCAGGAUGUUGGCUUAGAAGCAGCCAUCAUUUAAAGAAAGCGUAAUAGCUCACUGGUCGAGUCGGCCUGCGCGGAAGAUGUAACGGGGCUAAACCAUGCACCGAAGCUGCGGCAGCGACACUAUGUGUUGUUGGGUAGGGGAGCGUUCUGUAAGCCUGCGAAGGUGUGCUGUGAGGCAUGCUGGAGGUAUCAGAAGUGCGAAUGCUGACAUAAGUAACGAUAAAGCGGGUGAAAAGCCCGCUCGCCGGAAGACCAAGGGUUCCUGUCCAACGUUAAUCGGGGCAGGGUGAGUCGACCCCUAAGGCGAGGCCGAAAGGCGUAGUCGAUGGGAAACAGGUUAAUAUUCCUGUACUUGGUGUUACUGCGAAGGGGGGACGGAGAAGGCUAUGUUAGCCGGGCGACGGUUGUCCCGGUUUAAGCAUGUAGGCUGGUUGUCCAGGCAAAUCCGGAUAAUCAAGGCUGAGGUGUGAUGACGAGGCACUACGGUGCUGAAGUAACAAAUGCCCUGCUUCCAGGAAAAGCCUCUAAGCAUCAGGUAACAUCAAAUCGUACCCCAAACCGACACAGGUGGUCAGGUAGAGAAUACCAAGGCGCUUGAGAGAACUCGGGUGAAGGAACUAGGCAAAAUGGUGCCGUAACUUCGGGAGAAGGCACGCUGGUGUGUAGGUGAAGUCCCUGCGGAUGGAGCUGAGACCAGUCGAAGAUACCAGCUGGCUGCAACUGUUUAUUAAAAACACAGCACUGUGCAAACACGAAAGUGGACGUAUACGGUGUGACGCCUGCCCGGUGCCGGAAGGUUAAUUGAUGGGGUUAUCCGUAAGGAGAAGCUCUUGAUCGAAGCCCCGGUAAACGGCGGCCGUAACUAUAACGGUCCUAAGGUAGCGAAAUUCCUUGUCGGGUAAGUUCCGACCUGCACGAAUGGCGUAAUGAUGGCCAGGCUGUCUCCACCCGAGACUCAGUGAAAUUGAACUCGCUGUGAAGAUGCAGUGUACCCGCGGCAAGACGGAAAGACCCCGUGAACCUUUACUAUAGCUUGACACUGAACAUUGAGCCUUGAUGUGUAGGAUAGGUGGGAGGCUUUGAAGCGUGGACGCCAGUCUGCGUGGAGCCAACCUUGAAAUACCACCCUUUAAUGUUUGAUGUUCUAACGUUGGCCCCUGACCGGGGUUGCGGACAGUGUCUGGUGGGUAGUUUGACUGGGGCGGUCUCCUCCCAAAGCGUAACGGAGGAGCACGAAGGUUAGCUAAUCCUGGUCGGACAUCAGGAGGUUAGUGCAAUGGCAUAAGCUAGCUUGACUGCGAGCGUGACGGCGCGAGCAGGUGCGAAAGCAGGUCAUAGUGAUCCGGUGGUUCUGAAUGGAAGGGCCAUCGCUCAACGGAUAAAAGGUACUCCGGGGAUAACAGGCUGAUACCGCCCAAGAGUUCAUAUCGACGGCGGUGUUUGGCACCUCGAUGUCGGCUCAUCACAUCCUGGGGCUGAAGUAGGUCCCAAGGGUAUGGCUGUUCGCCAUUUAAAGUGGUACGCGAGCUGGGUUUAGAACGUCGUGAGACAGUUCGGUCCCUAUCUGCCGUGGGCGCUGGAGAAUUGAGGGGGGCUGCUCCUAGUACGAGAGGACCGGAGUGGACGCAUCACUGGUGUUCGGGUUGUCAUGCCAAUGGCACUGCCCGGUAGCUAAAUGCGGAAGAGAUAAGUGCUGAAAGCAUCUAAGCACGAAACUUGCCCCGAGAUGAGUUCUCCCUGAGACUUUAAGUCUCCUGAAGGAACGUU